AGGCCACAGCUGGGUAGCUAUGUACGGAAGGGAUAAACGCUGAAAGCAUCUAAGCGUGAAGCCCCCCCUGAGAUGAGAUUUCCCAUCGCAAGAGUAAGACCCCUUAGAGAACAUGAGGUUGAUAGGUCAGGGGUGUAAGCACAGUGAUGUGUUAAGCUGACUGAUACUAAUCGGUCGAGGACUUAACUUU
rnacentral:rRNA from 1 species